rnacentral:rRNA from 1 species
AGGGUUUGAUCCUGGCUCAGAUUGAACGCUGGCGGUAGGCUUAACACAUGCAAGUCGUGCGAGAAAGUAUCUUCGGAUAUGAGUAGAGCGGCGGACGGGUGAGUAACGCGUAGGAAUCUACCUAGUAGAAGGGGAUAGCCCGGGGAAACUCGGAUUAAUACCGUAUACCUCCUUCGGGAGAAAGAAGGCCUCUCUUUGAAGCUUUCGCUACUAGAUGAGCCUGCGUAAGAUUAGCUUGUUGGUGAGGUAAAGGCUCACCAAGGCGACGAUCUUUAGCGGGUCUGAGAGGACGAUCCGCCACAUUGGGACUGAGACACGGCCCAGACUCCUACGGGAGGCAGCAGUGGGGAAUAUUGGACAAUGGGCGCAAGCCUGAUCCAGCCAUACCGCGUGUGUGAAGAAGGCCCUAGGGUUGUAAAGCACUUUAAGUUGGGAAGAAAAGUUAUUGGUUAAUACCCAAUAACCGUGACAUUACCUUCAGAAUAAGGACCGGCUAAUUCCGUGCCAGCAGCCGCGGUAAUACGGAAGGUCCAAGCGUUAAUCGGAAUUACUGGGCGUAAAGCGCGCGUAGGUGGUUUAUUAAGUUGGAUGUGAAAUCCCCGGGCUCAACCUGGGAACUGCAUCCAAAACUGAUUCACUAGAGUACGAUAGAGGGAGGUAGAAUUCACAGUGUAGCGGUGGAAUGCGUAGAUAUUGUGAAGAAUACCAAUGGC